rnacentral:rRNA from 1 species
CCUACGGGAGGCAGCAGUGGGGAAUAUUGCGCAAUGGGCGAAAGCCUGACGCAGCGACGCCGCGUGAGGGAUGAAGGUCUUCGGAUCGUAAACCACUGUCAGCAGGGAAGAACGGUCACUGUGCUAAUCAGUAGUGAAUUGACGGUACCUGCAAAGGAAGCACCGGCUAACUCCGUGCCAGCAGCCGCGGUAAUACGGAGGGUGCGAGCGUUAAUCGGAAUUACUGGGCGUAAAGCGCUCGUAGGCGGUAUGUCAAGUCAAGGGUGAAAUCCCCGCGCUCAACGUGGGAACUGCCUUUGAAACUGGCCAGCUAGAGUGUGUGAGAGGAGAGUAGAAUUCCAGGUGUAGGGGUGAAAUCCGUAGAUAUGUGGAGGAACAUCAGUGGCGAAGGCGACUAUCUGGCAAAAGACUGACGCUGAGGAGCGAAAGCGUGGGUAGCAAACAGGAUUAGAUACCCUUGUAGUC